CUCGUAGGCGGUUCGUCGCGUCCGGUGUGAAAGCCCAUCGCUUAACGGUGGAUCCGCGCCGGGUACGGGCGGGCUUGAGUGCGGUAGGGGAGACUGGAAUUCCCGGUGUAACGGUGGAAUGUGUAGAUAUCGGGAGGAACACCGGUGGCGAAGGCGGGUCUCUGGGCCGACAUUGACGCUGAGGAGCGAAAGCGUGGGGAGCGAACA
rnacentral:rRNA from 1 species